rnacentral:miRNA from 10 species
AUCUCAGAAGCUAAGCAGGGUUGGGCCUGGUUAGUACUUGGAUGGGAGACCAAAAUGAGCUGGAUUCAGCUGUGAUGC